GAUAUGCUCCUUUCUCCCCAGUCAGCUCACCAGCCAGAGCUGUUUGUUCACCCAACAUUUCUUAUAAUGCAAUCUGCAACAUUCCACUAUUCUGUUGCUGGUAAUUUUCCGGAAUAAGCUCUGAGAUUCAGGAGCAGAUGGUUCACUGCUGACAAAGGAAGAUUUAGGUGGAGUGCCCCGAAAUGAAUUACCGCUGGAAGGUGGCCCAGAUUCGGGAUGACCCUUCUAGUGGCUGUGCCUCCCCCCGAAACGCCGAGCCGAAUGAUUUCUGCGUACCAAGAAGGGCUAGGUCUGUACCACAGAAUCCAUUUUCCACGUGAAAAUCUUUUCAACAGAAGAGAAUGCAAGUUGUUUUCAAGAGGCUGGGCUCUGCAAGAAUUCCAUGUCAAAUCAAGGCCUGGGCACAAACUGCUGGUGCAGCCCAAGAGAGCCACACAGCACCUCACACCUCAGCCUCCAAUCUUAAAAUAGGAAUGCAAACUACACAUUUGGUCUCAUCCCACAUCACCCCAUGAUGAACUGCUGAUUUUUGCCUCAACGUUGGGGCAGUGCACUGAAUGCUCAAGUAGAGUCUUGUCUUUAAAAUCCUAUUCUGUGAAGUGGACACUGUCUCAUGUAACACCUCAAGCCAGUAGGGAAAUAAUCAGAUUGCAUUUUUAGCAAAGUGAUAAUACGGAGUCAUGGCCUGCUAAUGAGUAUGGCAACAUGUCGUGUCCGGCUGUGACUACUUAUAUUUGUGCCAAUUUAUCUAAACUAGUGUGAGGAAAAAUGAAAAGCCUGUCCAGGAUACUGGGGUUUUCCAACUGUUUCGUUCAAGGCAGAAGGUAGUGUGUCAUAGAAUGGGAUGGAGAAAAAAAAAAUAGAGAUGGAAGAAUGAGAAGGAAGAUACCCACACAGAGAGAGGUGAGGAAGAAAAAAGGGAA